rnacentral:tRNA from 1 species
GCCCUUGUAGUUCAAUGGACAGAAUGCGAGCUUCCGGAGCUUGAGAUAGAGGUUCGACUCCUCUCAAGGGCA